rnacentral:snRNA from 1 species
AUACUUAGUUGGCAGGGGAAAUACCAUGAUCACAAAGGUGGUUUUCCCAGGGUGAGACUCAUCCAUUGCAGUCAGAAUUUGCUGACCUCUGAGAUUCCUCCCCUACUCCGAACC